AAUAUUGAAGAGUUUUAGUCAUACAAUAGAAGUCAGAGAAAGGACUUGUCUCAGCAUCCUUAGAUAAUUGAGAUCCCCCUCCCCCCCAGGGACUUCCAGGAAUGACCCAGGUGGGGAAUCGCACCCCAGAGAGGAGACAGGGUUCAUUCCUCCACAUCGGUGCUCCUCACCAUAUUGCAUUUUUGUUGACAGGUCUCCUCCAGUUGCCACUGCACCCCAUUGCUUCCCCAUCACUCCAUUCAAGCUCUGCCAGAGUUCAUUUUGGGAGAAUCAGACCUGUGGUUUCACUGGCAUUGAGAACUCCCUCGAGGAAGUUCCCUGUACCAAUGCAGUCAGCACCCCAUCUGCAACAAAGACUGAGAGGCUUGCCCAGUCCAUACUGCCGGGCUCCUCGAAUUAUGGUGUCAACCUGAGACAGCUCAUUCCAUUUUCUGACAAGUCGUACUGCACAGAAGUUUGCUGGAAUGGGACCUGCAGCUCCUGGUGAGGCGUUCUCUGCACACAGGGGUAACUCGGCCUGUGAAAGACCUAAAUCUUCAGUCUGAUUUCCAUCCCACGGUUCCGCCUACAGAAAAAUGACUGGAAUGCUUUGGAGGCCAAAGUAAAUACAGAGGAAAGAACAAAGGGUGUAUAAAUACUCGGACCAGCUCACAGUUCCAUCAGUACUGAAGUAGUGUGCCUGUUUUCCCACAACACCUACGACAUGGAUUAUCUUUUAUCAUCUUCACCAACUUCCUAGAUCUCCAAACCCAUGGUCUUAUUAUCCUCUGAUUAUAAGCAGCAGGUCUGGGAUUUGCACCCAGAUUCUCUGACUCCCAACUCCAGUGUUCUUUAUCUAAUGGAUCUUCAUUACAGCCUUGUGAGAGAUCCUGGAGUAGUUUGCCAUUUCCUUCUCCAGC